GUGAAUCAUCGAAUUUUUGAACGCAAAUUGCACUCUCUGGUAUUCCGGAGAGUAUGCCUGUUUGAGGGUCAGUUUAAAUAAAAAUCGGUGUGGUUGCUGCUUUUUGUGGUGACGAACAGGAUUUGGGUCGAUUUGCCUUCGGUUAAGUGACCUAAAAUUUAGCAGGAUUUUUUUAGAACGUAUUUAAAUGAUUUUACGUACGUUAGCGAUAUCGAAUACAAGGUGUGGAAACCGUCAUG
rnacentral:misc_RNA from 1 species